UGCUCUUUGCUAGCUCUCUCUGUGUUUUCCUUAUUGCCUUCGCAAGUUCGCAUGCCUGCCACUGCGCUCGUUUUCACCGAAUUCGAAGCUGGUUGUUCGGUGCAGAGGACGAGAGCGAGACGAAGCACCUGCAGGCAAUGGACGGAGCGAACUCGCGGCUCCGGCUGUUCCAGAUGGACCUCCUCGAACCCGCCUCCAUCCGGCCGGCGGUCGAGGGCGCCCGCGGCGUCUUCCACGUUGCUUCUCCGGUCAUCCUGCACCGUGCACAGGACCCAGAGGCAAUUCGAUCCUUUCUCCAUAUUUACUCAGGCACUCUUGAAAAAAAUCCAUUGCAGUUGACUGAAAAAGCAAACUUCUAUACAUCUCUUGAAAUUUCUAGUCUGUGCUGAUAAAUUGGUGUUUCCGCUGCUUAAUUGAAGAAUGAGUUGGUGGAGCCUGCGUUGAAGGGCACGCUGAGCGUCCUCCGCGCCGCGAAAGACUGUGGAGUCGGCCGUGUUGUCAUGGUGUCAUCGCAGACGGCCAUGGUGCCAAAUCCAGCGUGGCCUGCUGACAAGGUCGUGGAUGAGGACUCCUGGGCCGACAUUGAGCAGCUCAAGAAACUUCAGGUGCAUGCUUUUCUUUUAGGUCCAUUCCACACUGACAGAUUUACCCUAACAAAAAUGUUAUCUCUACUUUCAUGUAUGAUCCAAUUCAGUAUGUUGAUGAUACAAUAGGACGAUUGUGCUAAUUCCAUAUCCUUGAAGUUCAGCUUUGGUACAACGUCUCCAAAACACUGGCAGAGAAGGCCGCAUGGGACUUCGCCGAAAAGGAAGGUUUGGAGCUCGUUGUGCUCAAUCCAGCUCUGGUGUUGGGCCCUACUUUGACGCCCAAUAUCAUGGCCAGUCUCCAAAUGUUUCUUCAGAUCAUGGGAGGUCAGUCGUCUGCAACAACGCAGACUUCAGGCUUGCAGCCCAUUUGGUAUGAUUACAGUUUUUUUGCCCCCCUAAGAGUGUAAUUAAUCUUGGCAGGGAAGAAGUAUGACAUGGACGAGUUCUUCAUUGGCUGUGUUGAUGUCCGAGACGUCGCACAGUCUCUGAUAGUGCUGUAUGAGAACACAUCUGCCGAGGGACGCCACUUAUGCCUGGAGUCCUCUGAACGGAUGGUCGAUUUCACCAAUAGACUUGCUCAUCUCUACCCUGAAUUUUCAGUUUACAGGUGAUAUAUGCAUCUCUCACAACACCACCGGUCUUUUCGCCGGUGUUGCACAUUGUUCUUCACUUGCUGAUAUCUUGUUUUCGCAUUAGAAUCCAAGAGGACAAACAAGACUGGGUGGUGAGGGCCAAGGACCCCUCCAAGAAACUGAUCAAUUUGGGUGUCCGUUUCACUCCAUUGGACAAAACUAUCGCGGACACUAUGGACUGCUUUAGGAGCAAAGGACUCAUCUAGCGCGUCACGCCGAUUUCUUCAAAGGAAAAUUAGGGAAAUAUCGAGUAUCGCAUCCAUCUGGCUGAAUGUGAAAAUGUGUUGUUCAAAAACUGUUGUAAAGCCUCUGGCUGCAAACCUGUUCUGUUUUUUUUCUAUUCAAUAAAUUCAUGUAGGGGCUACGGCCCCUCCAGUUUUAUAUUAAAAAAAACUGUUGUAAGGUGAAAAUAAACUGCUAGAACGCAAAUAAUACAUUUGUAAAUGACGUGUUUUUUUUUCUAUUUUCUUCUCCUCUCUUUCCAUUUAGAAAUAGAUUAUAACUGAUAAUACUUUUUUAGUUCUAAAUAACGGUCAAACAAGAAAUUUAAAAGUAAAAAACAACACUUUUAAAUAAUGUUUGGUUGGUGGAAUAGGGUGGAAUGAGCCUGCUUUUAUGCUGUUCGGUUCAGGGGCGAGGCGGAGACAAGUCCAUCCCACUUGGAAAUAUGUCAUCCAGAUGCCGUGACUCCCGUCCUUGUUUUUUUGACGGACAUAGCUUGUCACUUCUUGGACACAACAAGUAGCCCUAGGAGCGAGGGAGAGACCUAAAGUGCAGCGCUUUGAACCUCCCGAGAGACCGAGACCAAUCAACUCUUGAUGCCCCGGUGCCAAAGGCACAAUACGUCUCGGAGGAGAAAGUAUCGAGACUGUCACGCCCUGUGGCUGCCGGCGAUCGCCAUCGACGUCAGGAGAUCGAGCGAACCCAAGGUUUGGGGAACGAGCAGAGGACAGCUUUCCCUUUCUCGAUUAUGUAUUGUCAAAACUCAAAACUGGAAUAGUUCUCUCUUACAGCAUAUUAGGCUUAGUGUUCUGGCCAUCAGGCCCCAUCUGUCAUAGAAAAUGUAUUACACUCCAAUGAGAUUACUACGUCUUCCUCGGUUCCUCCCUCGAACGCGCCUUCUGCUGUGGCGCCAGCGUCCUCUGGUUCAGCCAACGGGCUUGACAGAGACACAGCAGCCUUGCUUGUUGUUGGGACGUCUCUCCAUCGACGAGUAGCAAGAUCUUUUAACAGCAUGACACAUCUGUGUGUGGCAGCUAUUGAUUGUGAACGGGGCGCUGCUUGUCGAGCGAGGCACCGGAGGCCGGACCGCCGGACGCUGCUCCGUCUCUUUCCGCGUGCCGACUCGUGCCUUUGGUUCGCUAGCGUAGCGACACCGGUGAUUCCGUGCGCCGGCAGGCGGGCAGGCCAGGCCACCAACGCCGGCGCAACGAAAUGGCGGCAGCCGGGGACGCCGGCGGCCUCCUCGUCUGCGUGACGGGCGCCAGCGGCUUCAUUGGCUCCUGGCUCGUCCGCUGCCUCCUUGACCGCGGCUACACCGUCCACGCCACCGUCAAGAACCUCCGUAAGUGACACAUGUGCUCCGAUGCUGGCUCAGCUCACAGACCUCUUCCUGGCUUCCUGCUCUGCUCGCCGUGUAGCCUCAAUUUCAGUUGCCCGGCCGGCUGAAUCUUUCGCUGCAGAAGAUGAGGGCGAGACGAAGCACUUGCAGGCCAUGGGCGGCGCCGACGCGCGUCUCCGGCUGUUCCAGAUGGACCUCGUCGACCCUGCUUCCGUUCAGCCAGCGAUCGAAGGCGCCCACGGCGUCUUCCACCUGGCGUCGCCUAUGAUACUGCAGGCAGAAGAUCCGGAGGCAAUUCUUUCAAUCUUUCUCCAUGAUCGUUCACCCGAUCGUUGUAUAAUCCGAUUGCUCGAGUAGGUAACACUUGUAUUGGUUCCAC
rnacentral:lncRNA from 1 species